UCGCUCAACGGAUAAAAGGUACUCCGGGGAUAACAGGCUGAUACCGCCCAAGAGUUCAUAUCGACGGCGGUGUUUGGCACCUCGAUGUCGGCUCAUCACAUCCUGGGGCUGAAGUAGGUCCCAAGGGUAUGGCUGUUCGCCAUUUAAAGUGGUACGCGAGCUGGGUUUAGAACGUCGUGAGACAGUUCGGUCCCUAUCUGCCGUGGGCGCUGGAGAACUGAGGGGGGCUGCUCCUAGUACGAGAGGACCGGAGUGGACGCAUCACUGGUGUUCGGGUUGUCAUGCCAAUGGCACUGCCCGGUAGCUAAAUGCGGAAGAGAUAAGUGCUGAAAGCAUCUAAGCACGAAACUUGCCCCGAGAUGAGUUCUCCCUGACUCCCUGAGAGUCCUGAAGGAACGUUGAAGACGACGACGUUGAUAGGCCGGGUGUGUAAGCGCAGCGAUGC
rnacentral:rRNA from 1 species